AUUGAACGCUGGCGGCAGGCUUAACACAUGCAAGUCGAACGAUGAAACUCUAGCUUGCUAGAGAAGAUUAGUGGCGGACGGGUGAGUAACAUUUAGGAAUCUGCCUAGUAGUGGGGGAUAGCUCGGGGAAACUCGAAUUAAUACCGCAUACGACCUACGGGUGAAAGGGGGCGCAAGCUCUUGCUAUUAGAUGAGCCUAAAUCAGAUUAGCUAGUUGGUGGGGUAAAGGCCUACCAAGGCGACGAUCUGUAACUGGUCUGAGAGGAUGAUCAGUCACACCGGAACUGAGACACGGUCCGGACUCCUACGGGAGGCAGCAGUGGGGAAUAUUGGACAAUGGGGGCAACCCUGAUCCAGCCAUGCCGCGUGUGUGAAGAAGGCCUUUUGGUUGUAAAGCACUUUAAGCAGGGAGGAGAGGCUAAUGGUUAAUACCCAUUAGAUUAGACGUUACCUGCAGAAUAAGCACCGGCUAACUCUGUGCCAGCAGCCGCGGUAAUACAGAGGGUGCGAGCGUUAAUCGGAAUUACUGGGCGUAAAGCGAGUGUAGGUGGCUCAUUAAGUCACAUGUGAAAUCCCCGGGCUUAACCUGGGAACUGCAUGUGAUACUGGUGGUGCUAGAAUAUGUGAGAGGGAAGUAGAAUUCCAGGUGUAGCGGUGAAAUGCGUAGAGAUCUGGAGGAAUACCGAUGGCGAAGGCAGCUUCCUGGCAUAAUAUUGACACUGAGAUUCGAAAGCGUGGGUAGCAAACAGGAUUAGAUACCCUGGUAGUCCACGCCGUAAACGAUGUCUACUAGCCGUUGGGGUCCUUGAGACUUUAGUGGCGCAGUUAACGCGAUAAGUAGACCGCCUGGGGAGUACGGCCGCAAGGUUAAAACUCAAAUGAAUUGACGGGGGCCCGCACAAGCGGUGGAGCAUGUGGUUUAAUUCGAUGCAACGCGAAGAACCUUACCUGGUCUUGACAUAGUGAGAAUCCUGCAGAGAUGCGGGAGUGCCUUCGGGAACUCACAUACAGGUGCUGCAUGGCUGUCGUCAGCUCGUGUCGUGAGAUGUUGGGUUAAGUCCCGCAACGAGCGCAACCCUUUUCCUUAUUUGCCAGCGGGUUAAGCCGGGAACUUUAAGGAUACCGCCAGUGACAAACUGGAGGAAGGCGGGGACGACGUCAAGUCAUCAUGGCCCUUACGACCAGGGCUACACACGUGCUACAAUGGUAGGUACAGAGGGUUGCUACACAGCGAUGUGAUGCUAAUCUCAAAAAGCCUAUCGUAGUCCGGAUUGGAGUCUGCAACUCGACUCCAUGAAGUCGGAAUCGCUAGUAAUCGCAGAUCAGAAUGCUGCGGUGAAUACGUUCCCGGGCCU
rnacentral:rRNA from 1 species